rnacentral:rRNA from 1 species
GCCCAGACUCCUACGGGAGGCAGCAGUGGGGAAUAUUGGGCAAUGGGCGCAAGCCUGACCCAGCAAUGCCGCGUGAAGGAAGAAGGCUUUCGGGUUGUAAACUUCUUUGACAGGGGAAGAGCAGAAGACGGUACCCUGAAAACAAGCCACGGCUAACUACGUGCCAGCAGCCGCGGUAAUACGUAGGCGGCAAGCGUUGUCCGGAUUUACUGGGUGUAAAGGGCGUGUAGCCGGGAAGGCAAGUCAGAUGUGAAAUCCGGAGGCUCAACCUCCGAAUUGCAUUUGAAACUGUUUUUCUUGAGUACUGGAGAGGCAGACGGAAUUCCUUGUGUAGCGGUGAAAUGCGUAGAGAUCGGGAGGAACACCAGUGGCGAAGGCGGCCUGCUGGGCUUUAACUGACGCUCAGGCACGAAAGCAUGGGUAGCAAACAGGAUUAGAUACCCCGGUAGG